CCUACGGGUGGCAGCAGUGGGGAAUAUUGCGCAAUGGGGGAAACCCUGAUGCAGCGACGCCGCGUGAGCGAUGAAGUAUUUCGGUAUGUAAAGCUCUAUCAGCAGGGAGGAAAAUGACGGUACCUGACGAAGAAGCGCCGGCUAACUACGUGCCAGCAGCCGCGGUAAUACGUAGGGGGCAAGGGUUAUGCGGAUUGACUGGGUGUAAAGGGAGCGUAGACGGUCCUGCAAGCCAGUUGUGAAAGCCCGGGGCUCAACCCCGGGAUUGCAUUUGGAACUGUAAGGCUAGAGUGUCGGAGAGGCAGGCAGAAUUCCUAGUGUAGCGGUGAAAUGCGUAGAUAUGAGGAGGAAUACCAGUGGCGAAGGCGGCCUGCUGGACGAGGACUGACGUUGAGGCGCGAAAGCGUGGGGAGCAAACAGGAUUAGAUACCCUAGUAGUC
rnacentral:rRNA from 1 species